ensembl:lncRNA
GUGAAAAACAGUCCUAUAGCCAAACUGUUGUCUGUUCCACUUUUUGUUCACUUUUUCUUGCUGAGCCUGAGAGAGCACAUGCCUGAUCACUCUCUUUAUAGGUUUUAGUGGACUCCUAGUACUGCGACGUGGUUUCAUGGUACAAAGGGAUUGUAUUCCAAGAUCUGGGAGACUGUAGAAAUGAGCAGUGAUGCCCUUCCUACCAUCUUUCCAGAAAAGUGAUCUGGAAGCUGUUAGGCUGACUUACAGCAGCAGCACUUUCUGCACCUGCAUAAACUCCAGGACACAUUUACUAACGGUGUUUGUUGCUGUAUGUGCAGCUUUGAAUUUUUUAAUAAUAUAUAUUUUGUUAAUAUUUCGGCUAU